AAUCCAUCACAACAAUUGCUUUCGCUGGAAGACUUACUUGGUACUAUUUAUUGAUCCCCCUUGUAAGCCCCCCAAAAGAGGCUUCUAAUCUAAGCCAUCCUUAAGGCCGAGAUGUGAGAUGGCAGCUCACGGACACAGAGUCUUGUUGAUUCCGCGGACAAGCCCUUAGGUGGAUAGUUCUCAGCUGCUAGCUCAGAUCCUCUUGUUUCGGCUUUCUUGCUUGUUAAUGGGUGAGCCCAAGCUCCUAGCGUUAGCGAGAAAACUACCUAUUUAAUUUAUUAAUUUAAAGGUAGGACCCAGACCGAUAGAUUUAUUCUAUGGCGAAGGAUCUGAAGGUCUGAAAGCGCGUAAAUAGCUUCUGAGAGAAUCCAGCUACUUA
rnacentral:misc_RNA from 1 species